GAGAAGUUCUUAUCCGAUAUAGAAAUUUGGAAUUAUACAGAAAAGAUUAGCAUGACCCUUACGCAAGAAUGACACGCACAAAUUGAGAAAUUGUAUCAGAGAUUAUU